GCCGACGUAGCUCAGCUGGUAGAGCGCCGCCAUGGUAAGGCGGAGGUCCCCGGUUCAAUCCCGGGCGUCGGCU
rnacentral:tRNA from 1 species